UGCAUAUCCCAAAAAGCGGAGGAAAAGAAACCAACAGGGAUUGCCCUAGUAACGGCGAGUGAAGCGGCAACAGCUCAAAUUUGAAAGCUGGCUUAGGCCCGCAUUGUAAUUUGCAGAGGAUGCUUUUGGUGAGGUGCCUUCCGAGUUCCCUGGAACGGGACGCCAUAGAGGGUGAGAGCCCCGUAUGGAUGGCCACCAAACCUGUGUAAAGCUCCUUCAACGAGUCGAGUAGUUUGGGAAUGCUGCUCUAAAUGGGAGGUAAAUCUCUUCUAAAGCUAAAUACCGGCCAGAGACCGAUAGCGCACAAGUAGAGUGAUCGAAAGAUGAAAAGCACCUUGAAAAGGGGGUUAAACAGUACGUGAAAUUGUUGAAAGGGAAGCGCUUGUGACCAGACUUGCGCCGGGCGGCUCAUCAGGGGUUCUCCCCUGUGCACUCCGCCCGGCUCAGGCCAGCAUCGGUUCUCGUGGGAGGAUAAGAACGGUAGGAACGUGGCCCCCCUCCGGGGGGGUGUUAUAGCCUACCGUACGAUACUCUCGUGGGGACCGAGGUUCGCGCUCCGCAAGGAUGCUGGCGUAAUGGUCAUCAGCGACCCGUCUUGAACACCCCGGAACCAU
rnacentral:rRNA from 1 species